UACAGAGGGUGCUAGCGUUAAUCGGAAUUACUGGGCGUAAAGCGCAUGUAGGUGGGUAUUUAAGUCGGAUGUGAAAGCCCCGGGCUCAACCUGGGAAUCGCAUUCGAUACUGCUGUGCUUGAGGACUGGAGAGGAGACUGGAAUUUACGGUGUAGCGGUGAAAUGCGUAGAUAUCGUAAGGAAGACCAGUGGCGAAGGCGGGUCUCUGGACAGUUCCUGACACUGAGGCACGAAGGCCAGGGGAGCAAACGGG
rnacentral:rRNA from 1 species